rnacentral:rRNA from 1 species
UGGGGAAUAUUGGGCAAUGGGCGCAAGCCUGACCCAGCAACGCCGCGUGAGGGAAGAAGGUUUUCGGAUUGUAAACCUCUGUCGCAGAAGACGAAGGAAGUGACGGUAUUCUGUGAGGAAGCCCCGGCUAACUACGUGCCAGCAGCCGCGGUAAUACGUAGGGGGCAAGCGUUAUCCGGAUUUACUGGGUGUAAAGGGAGCGUAGACGGCAAGGCAAGUCUGAUGUGAAAACCCGGGGCUUAACCGCGGGACUGCAUUGGAAACUGUCUUAGCUGGAGUGCCGGAGAGGUAAGCGGAAUUCCUAGUGUAGCGGUGAAAUGCGUAGAUAUUAGGAAGAACACCAGUGGCGAAGGCGGCUUACUGGACGGUAACUGACGUUGAGGCUCGAAAGCGUGGGGAGCAAACAGGAUUAGAUACCCUGGUAGU